rnacentral:rRNA from 1 species
UACGGAGGGUGCGAGCGUUGUCCGGAAUCACUGGGCGUAAAGGGUGCGUAGGCGGGUCUUUAAGUCAGGGGUGAAAUCCUGGAGCUCAACUCCAGAACUGCCUUUGAUACUGAAGAUCUUGAGUUCGGGAGAGGUGAGUGGAACUGCGAGUGUAGAGGUGAAAUUCGUAGAUAUUCGCAAGAACACCAGUGGCGAAGGCGGCUCACUGGCCCGAUACUGACGCUGAGGCACGAAAGCGUGGGGAAGCAAACAGGG